rnacentral:tRNA from 1 species
AAUGACGAGCCUGAAUUAAAGGAUUAUCGUGAUAGGAUAAAACAUGUAGUAAAAACUACCUUCAUUA